rnacentral:rRNA from 1 species
GACGUAGGGCGCGAGCGUUGUCCGGAUUUAUUGGGCGUAAAGAGCUCGUAGGCGGCUUGUUGCGUCGGCUGUGAAAACCCAUGGCUCAACCGUGGGCGUGCAGCCGAUACGGGCAGGCUGGAGUUCGGUAGGGGAGACUGGAAUUCCUGGUGUAGCGGUGAAAUGCGUAGAUAUCGUAAGGAAGACCAGUGGCGAAGGCGGGUCUCUGGACAGUUCCUGACGCUGAGGCACGAAGGUCAGGGGAGCAAACAGG